rnacentral:rRNA from 1 species
UACGUAGGGAGCAAGCGUUGUCCGGAAUCAUUGGGCGUAAAGCGCGCGUAGGUGGCCCGGUAAGUCCGCUCUGAAAGUCACAGGCUCAACCUGUGAAAGCGGGUGGAUACUGCCGGGCUAGAGUCCGGAAGAGGCAGUGGAAUUCCUGGUGUAGCGGUGAAUGCGCAGAUAUCAGGAGGAACACCAGAGUGGAAGGCAGCUGCGUGGGACGUACUGACGCUGAGGACGAGAACGUGGGGAGCGAACAGG